GCCCGGUUAGCUCAAUCGGUAGAGCGUGAGACUCUUAAGAGGCACACGAUCUAAUGUCGCGAUAUCUCCAUAUCUCAAGGUUGCGGGUUCGACCCCCGCAUUGGGCU
rfam:Trichoderma harzianum strain T6776 Scaffolds0297.1, whole genome shotgun sequence.